rnacentral:tRNA from 1 species
GCUAAUGUAGCAAAAUAUGGCACUGCCAAAGACCUAAACCCUUUUUAUAGAGGUUCAAAUCCUCUCACUAGCU